AGGUUAGAUAAAGCCAUGGAGGGUGAGACCGAGAUCGUCCUUCCUGCCUGGCCUUCGGGAGUGAGUGUCAACCGAGCUGUCAAAAAAUACGCUUGCCAAUCAGCCAUGUCGAGUUACCAAGACGACAACAGCAUCCCCCUGGUGGACGAUGAUCCUUCAGUGGUGCUGGAUGAUGACCGAACAGCUGCCUCAGAGAUCUCCAACUCGACGCGUGGCCAGAGCCUGGAGUCCAUCCCUUCCACCUACACCAAUGGCUCCAGCAGUCCCCUCCACAACAGUGAGUCCCUCAGUCCCUUCACAUUUAGUGGCCUGGAACCAGACAUUUCACCCGACGAGCACGAGGAGAAGGCCCGUCUCAUUGCUCAGGUGUUAGAACUUCAAAACACACUUGAUGAUCUUUCUCAACGUGUGGACAGUGUCAAGGAAGAGAAUCUGAAAUUGCGCUCCGAGAACCAGGUUUUGGGUCAAUACAUCGAGAAUCUCAUGUCUGCCUCCUCUGUGUUCCAAUCCACCUCACCCAAGACAAAGAAAAAUAAACAGUGGAGGCAGUUUGAGGCUUGAGGUGUUGGGGAGGUUCUCGCAGAGGCACCUAACUCCUUCCUACUAGUGUUAUGGUCAGAGCGACUUCUGUAGAGCCCCGGUGACAGUCUGGACCAAACUCACUAGUCAACCCUGGCUGGUCACUCCUGAACGGCCCCACUCCACUACACCGCCACUGUCCUGCAAGGCCCCACUCCACUACAUCGCCGCUGUCUGUCUUCUCGUCUGUUGUGUGUCUGUCACUGUAUUUCUUUCUGUCCAUCUUUAUACCUUCUCAUAUUUUUAUGCAGCUACUGUUGCUUAUAAGAGUUCUUUGUGUAUUUAGAGAUUCAUUUUCUUCUUUGGAAAUAUAUACUCCACAGUUAAAAGUGAACUCUAUACUAUACGAGCCAUCUAGAGACAGAAGGGUAAGCGUGCCAAUGGCCAUAAUGGCGGUCUCACCCAUCUGUUUCUAGACGGCUCAUGCAUUUUGAUUUUGGAGAAAAAAAAUAUAUUGUACUAUUACAUUUUACAAAUGCUUUGUUCUUUUCAUUCCAAAUUCAAGGCAGAGGUUAGAUAUUCAUUUUCACAUAUUUCCUGUAAGUGUGUCUAUAUAUACUCUUCUUGCUGGAAUGCAAUUAGCUUUAAUGUACAGUUUACUGUGAGGAGUAUUAGUAUUUAUUAUUCCUAUAAAUUCAUGUAUACUUAAUCGCACAGCCUUAAAUGUUACAGUUUAUGUUUAUGAGUCAUUACAGCGGCAUAGCUACACUAGUGCUACAGGUGCAUGCACCUGUAGAUUAGAGAGCUCUAUUAACCUAGUAUUCUGGCAAGAGGUGGAUGUUAUAUUACCUAGAUUUCUUCUUGAAGUUUAUUCAGAUUAUACCUAACAGAAAUGAAUGUUGUGACAAUAGUGCUGCACAGGAUUAUACCAUACUAACAAGAGAUGGAGAGAAAAUAUAACCUUUUGUAUACUCUUUAUUCAUCAUAAUACACUUCAUUUUUCCCAACAUACUUUUCACACCAAAAUAAUAACCACAAUUCUCUUGAUCUCUACCCCCUCGCUUGCAGCUGAAGGCCUCACAGCAUGAACUCAUCAUUACACUACAAAUACCAGCUUUCGCUAAAAUCACAGACUAUUCUACUAACUUAAAAUGAGCCAUGAAUGUGAAGUGAACAGAUGCACAGGUGCAAUGGGAGGACUGUGUGCAGCAGGGAGAGGAAUGUCAAGUAAGAGAUUAGGAAAUUUGAGAUAAUCAGAGCACAAUAAUUAUUUCCAGUUUUUUUGU